GACAAACGCUAUAAAAUGAGAGAGAGUUUUUUUUUCUGGGUAAACUCCGGUUAAGGAGUUUCCUCCUUAAAGUGAGAGGGAAUAUCAAAUAUGCAUUACUGUUGAGUCAGAGACCCACAUGCAAUGUUACCGGAGUUUAUGUCCAGUCGAAUUAUGCUUUUCUAAUCUGGAAGGAUUGGUUUUUUCGGGUGUUAACUGUAGUGUUAGUACAAAAAAAAACUGCUAUUUCUGUGAGUGUGACGAGGUGUCACAAUCAUCCAAUCAUGGUUUAUCAACUCUGCAAAUCUAGCAGGACUCCAUAUUAAUUACUAUGGAAAUUCAUAUGAAUAUCCAUAUGAUGAUAUAAUAUAAAAUUCAGAUUGUCCAUCUUCAAAAGUCCCGUUGCCAGCAACGUGAUAAAGGAGAGAGAAUACAGUAUAAUGUGUGUCAUCUUCUGAUACAACCUUAUCACUGGGCCAUCUUUGAUCUUUGUCAUGUUAGUUCUGCACAAAAAUAAAAAGAAAGCUUAGUUUUUGUACCGAAUUCAUAAAUUAUAAAACAAAAACAAGUUGUCAACUCCAAAAUGGCUAAAAGGUUAAACUUAUGUGCCUACCAUUACGUAAAGUUCUUCUAGAACCUUGAUUUAUAUGGUUGUACUACAUAUACUUAUAUCAAUCUAUCAUCUUUCCCGCAAAAUUUAAAUAUGAAACACCUUUAUAACAACGUGAACCUUCUAAUACUACUAAAAAACAAAAAUCAUGUACCUUUGAAAGAUUUUAAUGACCAUACAUAGUUUGCCGGUGGAAAAACAGUAUUCAGUACUUUUUUUUGAUAAGUUAUUGCAGAAUACAGGAAUACAGCUACGUUAAACUUACCUAAUACUUUACAAUAUUGACAACAAUUAGUUAAUAAUUAAUCUCAACUGUAUCAAAAUCAUGGUGCAGUACUGCAAGGUGUGUCCUUCAUAUCGGCCAUACAUAUCUAAUUAUUUAUACAUAGACUUGUUAAUUGAAAUAUAUGGAAAAAAACAAAUAAUUAAUCCAUUUACUUAAAUUUGACAGCCACUUUUACCUCUCUAAACAUCACGAUGAUGAGAAGAUCUACUCGUCAUCUAUAUCUGCUCGCGGCUCGCCUGCCAACUUGAAAUACCUUCACAUUGUCUGUCUUUAUCACCCAAACUGAUCAAAUUAAAAUCAGAUAGGACCCUGUCUAGGUUUAUUGAGCCUGAUCGAUAAACACCAAUAACUCACUCAAAAAGUCUAAACCAUGGUGGGUCUGGCUCGAAUCUUAUCUAGAAAAAAUAAUCGAAUUAUGGGAAACACAUUCAAAGUUGCCUAUAGUUUUAUCCUAUGAAUGAAUGCAGCAUCCACAUCUCCAACUCUCUUCUCAAACACUGUAUCUCUCCAUCUCAUCUUCAUCAGUUCUAGAUCGUUUGAUUGAAGAUAACAUAGACAUCAUUUUCUUGUGGGACCCACUUAGGUUUAACUUGAUAUGCGUUGUCACGUGCCAUGUGUC
rnacentral:lncRNA from 1 species